GGGGAAUUAGCUCAGCCUGAUAGAGCAUCUGAUUUGCACUCAGAGGGUCAGGGGUUUGAAUCCCCUAUUCUCCACCA
rnacentral:tRNA from 1 species